AUUGGGCAAAGUAUUUUCCCUCACUUUCCCAUUUCGGUAGGUAGCUCCAAAUUAUCGAUCAACCCUCUCUUAUUUUCCCUCUCUUCCUCUCUCAUUUCCUAAAUCGGCUGGCUAUUUCAGUUGAUUUUCACUUUCCCUCUCUCACUUUCCCUCUCUUGAGCUUGGAUCUGGCUAUGGCUUAGGUGGAUUGAUCAUUGCAAUGACUAUAAAAGCACGGUAAGCUUGGAUAUGGAUAUGGAUUAGGUAGAUUGAUCAUUGUAAUGACUACAAAAACACGGGAAGAUGGAAAUCCCUAAGCUCUGUUAUUUGUUCCACUAAUUGUACCACGACUUGUGGAAGACAUUGCUUUUGCUGUGGCUCAAUUUUUCCAGCGAGGCGGAACCUUCCAAACUAUUACAUGGCCAGUGUUUAUAAAUCUGGAUAACAGUGUGCUACAAGAAUGUGGCCUUUAAUACUGCAAAGAGUAACUCCGUAUCAAAGUCUAUACGUUUGUUACUCAGUCUACGAAAGCCGAUGUAUCUAGCGCAUCCAUGUCAGGUUGGACUUUGGUAAAUGAGCCUGUAGGUAUCUCAAGUGAUAAUACAUUCAAAAAAGUGGGGCUGGUGGAAUAGAUAAACACUACAGCUGAUAAAAGUGAUUAUCUUUGGUACCCUCUAAGUGUCAAUUUAAAAAAUGAUGAUCCUUUGCUUCAAGAUGGAUCUGCAACGGUACUUCAUGUGGAAUCCCUAGGUCAUGUUCUCCACGCUUUUAUUAAUGGAAAGCUAUCAGCCAAGUGAUGCAUGCAGCUAGUGGACUCAUUUCGCCCAUGGAUGCAAGGAGACCUCAUGAUGAUAGUGAUCCUAAUGAUAGUCGUUGAUUUCAUUGCAAAUUGUCUUGGAUAUUCAAUUAUUAUGAUGUAAUUAUGUGGUUGGAGUGAAUCUUAGAAUAUUGAAGGUUUUGUGUUUAAAUCUGAUUUUGGAGUUUGAAGAUACUAGUUAAUGUUGAAAAUUUAGAGUUUGAAAAUGUUAAUGUUUAAAAUUUGAUUUUGAAG